CCUUGAGGAAGUAGGGGGGGGCCUCUUAUCUUCCUUCUCCUCCGUCCCUCCCUCUCUCCCUUCUUUCUUCUUGAGUACAAAUUACCAUGUGGAAAUGGAGGUAAGCCACCAUCUGGAAAUGAAAGGAAAGAACCUUACCUCACUCUUCCCUUCUCAACAAGUAUGAAGAGCCAUUUGGGAAUAAAAAAGCCACUUGGAAAUGGGACGUAGCGCCUGGCUUCGCCUCGCCUUGCCAUUUUGGAGAGGAAGUGUAGAACAUUGCCCUGCUUCUCUCCUCAACUGCCAGGAGCCAUUAGGAAAUGGAAGGUAUGAAGAGGCACGUAGUAGUGGAAGUGAUGAAGAGGCAUUUGGGAAUGGAAGAGCUUCUUCCUUUCAAGAAAGGGAAUGAAAUCUUGAAGCCAGAGGACAGAGAUGAACAAACACUCCAAAAAGGAGAUAUGGUCAAUCAAAAAUGAAAUUGAAAAAUCCCAAAAAUAUGAAAUGGAGUGACUGCAACCAAUUGUACUAAGAUGAAAUGUAGUACAGGGAAAAUGACCAAAACUUGCCCAAAUUAUUCCCUUUGAAAUCCCUAAAAUCAGGAAAGAAAGGGAAACAAAGAGACAGAAGAGAAAGAGAAGAAUUGAAAUUGCAAAACAAAAAAAAAAAAAAUAAA